GACGAACGCUGGCGGCGUGCUUAACACAUGCAAGUCGAACGGAAAGGCCCUGCUUUUGUGGGGUGCUCGAGUGGCGAAAGGGUGAGUAACACGUGAGUAACCUGCCCUUUACUUUGGGAUAACUUCAGGAAACUGGGGCUAAUACCGGAUAGGAGCUCCUGCUGCAUGGUGGGGGUUGGAGAGUUGCGGCGGUGGGGGAUGGGCUUGUGGCUUAUCAGCUUGCUGGGGGGGUAGGGGCUUACCAAGGCUGUGGCGGGUAGCCGGCCUGAGAGGGUGACCGGGCACAGGGGGACUGAGAUACGGCCCAGACUCCUACGGGAGGCAGCAGUGGGGAAGAUUGCACGAUGGGCGGAAGUCUGAUGCAGCAAGGCCGCGUGCGGGAUGACGGCCUUUGGGUUGUAAACCGCUUUCGCCUGUGACGAAGCGGGAGUGACGGUAAUGGGUAAAGAAGCACCGGCUAACUACGUG
rnacentral:rRNA from 1 species